rnacentral:tmRNA from 1 species
GGGGGCGAAUGGGCUCGACGGGGUGAUUGCGAGGCUUAAGGGCAUAGCGAGGCUCUCUAUCGCCUCGUUAAAGAUUGAUAGAGAAAAAACAGCUGCCAACAGCAGCUACGCACUGGCGGCAUAAUAAGACCGCCAACUCUUCCUGCCUUUUCACCCGAGGCAGGAAAGGGUGAGAGACUGGGUGAUGCGGUCGUUGUCUGCGUCUCAGGGACAAUGACCUAAGAGACUCUGAGACUGGUCAACCUUUGCCUGUCGGUUGGCGAGAAGGUUGACGAGAUGAGAUAAACCGACUAACUAUGUAGAACUUAAGCCUCAAACUCUCCGGACGCGGGUUCGAUUCCCGCCGCCUCCAUUG